AGGGCUCCCCAAAACACCCUGCAGCCCAGCCCGGGAGACAUCCCUUCCGGGCUCCCAGGGCCUGGCUCCCUCGGAGCUAUUAACCUGCCUGGAGCCCAGGCAGAUAAAUGCCAAUAAAGCUGUAUACAAGUUUCUGAACAAGCCUUAACGUUAUCCAGCCCCUGCGGAGGCUCUGUGAUGGCACCAGCUGUGUGCAGGGAGGACCCCGCAUUGUUCCCCGGGUACAGCUGCGACUGGCACCCAUGAGGUUGGGUGCACCAUUAAUGCUUCUCUUCAGUGUUUAUAAACUGCAUGGGGUUUUUUUACAGGUUAUGAUGAACGAGGCAGCAUUGCCACACACGCAGCUAUUCUGACAUGAUUAUUCAGACUAGGUUCUUGUAAACUGGACUGGACUAAGCCAUGAAUCACACUAAGGGUCCAUGAGCAAGUCCCGAGCUGAAGUAGACAGAUCUCUAAUGACAAGAAUGAAAACCACUGACUGAACACGGGCUGGUCUUCUAAAUGACAGAAAGGAGGAGUGCUCGUGCUGUGAACACUGCCUCAAGGCUCAAGGUGUGCAACCAAGGAAGUUGAUGGCAGUUGGUAACUGCUACUUUGGACAACUUGUGCUGAGCUGUGCACUCACCAAAUUUUCUUCAUGCCUCACCAAAUUGCAAAGAUGGUCCUAGCCCCACGUCAGCUCAAGCCCACAUUUUGUCACUCCUGACCUUAACCCUAACUGUAAAUCACACUAUCCCUGAGUCAGCUUUUGUUCUGGGUAUCACUUUAAGCAGGACUGUACUUCAUCCUUUAUGACAGCUGAAGACUAAGAAGCCUGCAUCCCAGCAGACCUCACCUGGUUCAAACUUUGUUUUCAAAUUUCAAAGUCUUUGACUCCUGCUUGGAAAAAAAUUCAGAAUUUUUGUAGAGGCCAACCUGUGGUUAUUUGGGACUUGGGUUGCUCCCAGAAGAACCCUGAGGCCCUCACCUGGCUGGACUGUGGUACCACACUGGGAAAAGGGGUCUGCGUAACCAGAGCUAUACCCACUUAUUCUUCCCACCUUGUAUUUGCUUAACUGGACAUAGGCUUCUGAAAAUAGGCUUCAGAUUAGCAGUGAACAAGAUCAGUGCUGCUUGAGUUAACCUGAACGUGUGCAUACCCAGCCUGGCAUCAAAUUGUCACAUAACCAACAGACAUGUCCCAGCCUGCCAGCUCUUGGGCAGAGUUCAUUCCCUCCAUUACACCUUAUUUUCCCAAAGAAAGGAAGCUUAAUCUUAGCCUAAGCAGACCUGAGUUUUCCCAGUCAGGGUUAUAAAGCCAGAUGGAAAACCUUUAUUGAUUAUAGGAAGUCUUCCACAGUAAUUGUGGGAGAUGAAGCAAGCAUCUUGUUCAUUGUUCAUGUUAUUUUACGAUACUUGGUAGAGUAAGAACAACCUAGGGAAGUAUUUUAGUUCAAAUCCGUAACGUGGUAUUUAAUCCCAAGACAUGGGCUAUACAGCACUGUUGUGACAUCACACAGGAGACAUAAAAUGUUAUGUCCCAAACAAGGUAAUUCACGCACCAGUUCUUAAUGCUGUCUUUAUCCAGGUUCUUAGUGGUCAGUGCAUUCAAAACAAUUUUUCCUUGUUCACAUUUUACAACUUCGAACACUAAUGCUGUUUUGCAGAACAGGUUAGUUCACACAGGCAGUUGUAUUCUACUUUAAAUGAUCAUGAAUCGUGUCAGUAGCUUCCAGUUAUAUUUUUGUACUCAUUAGUGGUAUAACACACAGGCAAUUUUUCAGUAGUUUAAAACAGGGUUGGAUUUCAUGUUCUUGUAUUGGGCAGUAGCUGUUGGGACAGUGUAAUUCUGUAUGACUGCAGCUUUCUUAUGUUCACUAGGAGCUGAGACUUAGAGCUGCAGCCCAGCCUGUGCUGGCAACCUUUGCCAGUGUGUCUGCUGGUCAGUGUGAGCAGCAGCAUGAUUCCCAAGCCUUGCUCCCACGUCAUUCCAGGCCAUGUCGGAAGGGCAUGUCUCUCAGGCUGCUGCACAUUUACAUUUUGGACACAUUCAAGACAACAAAAUGAAUAACAGGCACAGAGCUUAGUUUCAUAAAAAUAUCUGUUGUAGAGUUGACCUAUUGUUGCAAUACAUUUAUGGAGAUCUUACAGAAAACUACCAAGAUAAAAAGACAACUAUCUAAAGGUGCACUGAAUUCAGGAAGGCACCCAGCAAAAAUUUUUCCCAGAAGUAAAUAUUCUGGCUGGAACAGCUUGCUCCUAACACUGGGUUUGUAGAGAACUGCAGUUUCAGCCAAGUCUCCAGUACCACUGGAGUUAUUAAAAUUGGUAUCGGACUAUCA